GAACGCUGGCGGCGUGCUUCACACAUGCAAGUCGAACGAACCUUCGGGUUAGUGGCGGACGGGUGAGUAACGCGUGAGCAUCUGCCCUCAGGAGGGGGAUAACGGUUGGAAACGACCGCUAAUACCCCAUAUGCCGAGAGGUGAAAAGAAAUUCGCCUGAGGAUGAGCUCGCGUCUGAUUAGCUAGUUGGUGUGGUAAUGGCGCACCAAGGCUUCGAUCAGUAGCUGGUCUGAGAGGAUGAUCAGCCACACUGGGACUGAGACACGGCCCAGACUCCUACGGGAGGCAGCAGUGGGG
rnacentral:rRNA from 1 species